UGGGGUAUAGCUCAGUGGUAGAAUAUGUGCUUGGCAUGCACAAGGUUUUGGGUUCAAUCCCAGUACCUCUA
rnacentral:tRNA from 1 species